CUCAUCCCAAUCUGAGAACUCCUGGUUGAAUGCCUUGGAGAAGGCCUGGGCUCCACACUUUGGAAGAGUUCAGAGUCUAGUUAAGAGAUGGGACACUUCUGGGAUCUCUGUAACUUUUUAUUGUCCCUAUGGAAGUGGGAAAUGUCACCCUUGCAUGGCAACAUCGAAGCUUCCUCGGUGGUAGACAGCAUGGAUCUCUCGUCGUGGCAGCUGUAGGAAACACAGGAACUCCGUGACCUGGAAAAUGUGGGACAACUGCCACAAGGUGACCCUGGAAGGCUGGGGUAUGAAGGAGUGAAUGAAUGAAUGAAAUCACUUUGAUCCGAGAUCCUGCAGACUGAAAUUUACUUGUUGAAACAACCGGCCCGCCGUCCGCAUGACUAUCGUGGCUUUAGCCGCCGGGACCCCUCCAGAGCCGGCAGCCUCAGUGAGGCCACCCUCCGCUCGGGCUCUGGGGCAGUUCCAUGACGGUGGAGGGAAGAGACCCCGAGCCGGGAGUUCCAUCUCUGCGGAAAAACCCUAAUAUUUAUUUUUAAUAAAAAAGAUGAGAUUGCUGAAUCGAUUGUGAUUAAGGCUUAUAAUGGUAUUUAAGAACACAUCAAAAAGGCUUGGGUUUAAAUCUCAGAUCCACCACUUGGACCUCUGUGAUUUGGGGAAGUUAUUUAACUUUCCAAAGCUUCAGUUUCCUUAUUUAUACAAUAGAAAUAACAAUAGUACCUAUACUACAUAGGGUUGCUAUGAGGAUUAAAUGAGAUAAGACAUAUAUAGUGCACUGCCUGCCCAUAAUAUAUUUCCAAUAAGUACUGAUUAUUUCUAUUGUUAUUAUUUUGAAGGUGUUGAUAAUGAUGACUUUAGUUUUAACCACUAUAGAAUCUAGUGACUUUAUAAACUAUUGGACAUCUUUGAGUCAUGUGUUUUUCCAGUUGUGCGAUUUUAUGAGCAUGUCUCUUAGUUUCCUUAGCUGUAAAGUUCUAUGAAUCCAUUCUGAAUUUCCACACACCUUCAACAAAAUCAUAAGUGAAAAGGAGAAGUUAAAACAUAUGUUCUGGGGAGGAGUCAAGAUGGCGGUGUGGGAAGACGCAGAGUUAGCAUCUCCCCACAACUAGGGC